UACAAGCUAGCAGUAUUGCUAAACCUCCCUUCCAGUAGGUGGAGUACUGAGAAUUUAAACUUAGUUCACUUGGUUAACUGUUUGUACUACAACACUGGCUGUUAAGCAUGGAGCGAGAUGGAAAGACCAAAAAGACUUCUUCCUCAAAAAUAUGUGGACAAUGAAGAGACAGGUGUGACCAAGGAUGAAGCAUCAAGACAAGAAAGAAGCAGGUCAAGCAGCCAAGUUGAGGUGGCAAAGCUAAAGGUGGAAAUCAAAUUCCUACAUGAUGAAUGCACAGUUUUGAAGGAACAUGUGGACAAAUUAACAUCUGUUCCUGACAUGGCUGCAGGUCCUUCAGCAGGAUGGAGAGGGGCAGAAGAUUCCGCAUCCUGCUUUCUGAUAGACGAAAAAAAGGAAAAGCACAAGAAGAAGAAGAUCAAGAAGAACAAAAAAUAUAACAUUUUACCUAAAAGAAACAUAUAAUCAAUGAUGAUUGUAAAUAAAUAAAUAAAUAAGUUUAAUGUUAUGUAUUGUUGUA